UUUCCUAAAAGUGGGUUGAAAAAAGGCAAAGAUUGUCAAAAUUGCAGGUUUGGAAAAAAGAGAUCCAGGGAGCCAAUGUCGUCUGCCUGACUCUAAGUAACCUUAUUUUAUAAACCAAUGUCAUUUGGCUUCAAUGUAUGGUUUCAAUAUACAGUUAAACACAUUAGCCAUGUUUAUGUCCCAUAUUGUGAUGUUUCAUGUACAAAGACAACAAUUUGUGUAAUUGUAAACUGUAAAUCCAUACAAUUUCUGUUUAUUUAAUUAGGCUCAUCUAAUUAGAGUUCUUAUUUAAAUUAAAUCUUCCCUUAAUCAAUCGUUGUCUCUAUCCCACAGUAAUACAGUAAUGCCUGUGACAUAAGAGACUGAUGGUAAAGCUCAUAUGCACCUCCUCAAUCUUGAUUAUAAGAUCAGAUGUAUGAGUUUAAUCCAUUGAUGAGGUUAGUAUAACCUGCUCUAAACUGGAUUAAAUCAUUCCUUCAUAAAAACAUGAAAACUGAGUGUUGACUGAAACAGAACCAGUUUGUAAUGUACCUCUCUUUCUCAAAUGCACGCAUGCACAUACACACUCGCACGCACCCACAAACACACACACAUACACACAAAGAGUAAAUUUUUAGGGAUUGCAUUGGGCCUAGCAGACCUGAAUAGCCAUUGUUCUUGGAUAAAGAGACAGGUCACCGUUGCUGUUCAAUAACUAAAAUUAGCCCAUGUUCCUAGAAACCUGAGGUUCUACAGUCAGGGCCGCCACCAGAAAUUUUGGGGCCCCUAACUGAGCUCAGGGUCUGGUCCCCUGGGGCCCGCCCCCAAGACCGCCCACAGGGACCGCCUCCAAAUCCGGCCCACAGGAAUACACACACAGACACAAACACAUUCACUGAUACAAAAGGACACAGAUACACACACACACAUACUAAUACGCAUAUAGGCAUACAUACUGACACACACAUACUGAGACAUACACACAUAUAGAGACACACAGGCGUACAUAGUGACAAACAGACACACACUAACAUACAUACAGACACACAUGCAUAAGUACAUACAGACACAGACACAUUCAUAAUGACAUACAGACAUACAGACAUACAUUCAUACUGGCAUACAUUCAUACAGACAGACAUACAUGCAUACAGACACUGACAUCCAUACAUACACACAUUCAUAAUGACAUGCAGACAUACAUACACUGACAUUCAUACACACAUAAUGAUAUACAUACAGACAGACAGACAUACAUAGACACAGACAUACAUACAUACAGACAGACAUGCAUACAUACAUACAUACAUACAGACAUACAUAGACAUACAUACAGACAUACAUACAGACAGACAUAGACAUACAUACAGACACAUACACACAGCUCAUUUUCCAGCCACCCUCCUGUUUCUUACCUUUUCGUUGCAGGAGGGUGGCUGGGACUGAUGGGAGUAGUCGGCUGACUCUCCCUCUUCAUUGCAGGCCGCGCGCUCCUCCCGCGCGGAGUGAACUGGGAGGAAGUGACCACUUCCUCCCAGCAGCACUUGCUGCGGCUGCUUUUUUUUUUUUUUAUACCACGACCACAGCGCUGACCGGGCCCCUGAAGAUAUAGGGCCCAUGCACUUAGGGCCACCCGAUGGGCCCCAUCAGCGUGCGGCCCCGGUGCAACUGCACUGGCGGCAGUUCCGCCGCUACACAUUGGGCCUGGUUGUGC